AUUGAACGCUGGCGGCAGGCCUAACACAUGCAAGUCGAGCGGAUGAGAGGAGCUUGCUUCUCGAUUCAGCGGCGGACGGGUGAGUAAUGCCUAGGAAUCUGCCUGGUAGUGGGGGACAACGUUUCGAAAGGAACGCUAAUACCGCAUACGUCCUACGGGAGAAAGCAGGGGACCUUCGGGCCUUGCGCUAUCAGAUGAGCCUAGGUCGGAUUAGCUAGUCGGUGGGGUAAUGGCUCACCAAGGCGACGAUCCGUAACUGGUCUGAGAGGAUGAUCAGUCACACUGGAACUGAGACACGGUCCAGACUCCUACGGGAGGCAGCAGUGGGGAAUAUUGGACAAUGGGCGAAAGCCUGAUCCAGCCAUGCCGCGUGUGUGAAGAAGGUCUUCGGAUUGUAAAGCACUUUAAGUUGGGAGGAAGGGUUGUAGAUUAAUACUCUGCAAUUUUGACGUUACCGACAGAAUAAGCACCGGCUAACUCCGUGCCAGCAGCCGCGGUAAUAC
rnacentral:rRNA from 1 species